UUAGGCCGCCGUAUCUGCCAGCGAGGAGGCCGGGGCCAUCGAAUCCGGCGACCCCGGCCUCUCCGCAGGUGGAUCCGGCCGCCCGGA
rnacentral:pre_miRNA from 1 species